rnacentral:rRNA from 1 species
AGGGUGCGAGCGUUAAUCGGAAUUACUGGGCGUAAAGCGCAUGCAGGUGGUUUGUUAAGUCAGAUGUGAAAGCCCGGGGCUCAACCUCGGAAUUGCAUUUGAAACUGGCAAACUAGAGUACUGUAGAGGGGGUAGAAGUUUCAGGUGUAGCGGUGAAAUGCGUAGAGAUCUGAAGGAAUACCGGUGGCGAAGGCGGCCCCCUGGACAGAUACUGACACUCAGAUGCGAAAGCGUGGGGAGCAAACAGGAUUAGAUACCCUGGUAG